rnacentral:rRNA from 1 species
GAUGAACGCUGGCGGCGUGCCUAAUACAUGCAAGUCGAGCGAACAGACGAGGAGCUUGCUCCUCUGACGUUAGCGGCGGACGGGUGAGUAACACGUGGAUAACCUACCUAUAAGACUGGGAUAACUUCGGGAAACCGGAGCUAAUACCGGAUAAUAUAUUGAACCGCAUGGUUCGAUAGUGAAAGACGGUUUUGCUGUCACUUAUAGAUGGAUCCGCGCCGCAUUAGCUAGUUGGUAAGGUAACGGCUUACCAAGGCGACGAUGCGUAGCCGACCUGAGAGGGUGAUCGGCCACACUGGAACUGAGACACGGUCCAGACUCCUACGGGAGGCAGCAGUAGGGAAUCUUCCGCAAUGGGCGAAAGCCUGACGGAGCAACGCCGCGUGAGUGAUGAAGGUCUUCGGAUCGUAAAACUCCGUUAUUAGGGAAGAACAAAUGUGUAAGUAACUAUGCACGUCUUGACGGUACCUAAUCAGAAAGCCACGGCUAACUACGUG